UACGGGGGGGGCAAGCAGUGUUGUCGGAUUUACUGGGCGUAAAGGGCGCGUAGGCGGCCAGCACAAGUCAGUUGUGAAAUCUCCGAGCUUAACUCGGAAAGGUCAACUGAUACUGUGCGGCUAGAGUGCAGAAGGGGCAACUGGAAUUCUUGGUGUAGCGGUGAAAUGCGUAGAUAUCAAGAGGAACACCUGCGGCGAAGGCGGGUUGCUGGGCUGACACUGACGCUGAAGCGCGAAAGCGUGGGUAGCAAACAGG
rnacentral:rRNA from 1 species